CGGAACUGUCGCAGUUUCUGGUAGGAAUAGUUCCGCUGCUGCACUUGGACGUCACUUCCUGUUCUUCGUGAUAAAGGCCAGGCGGGCAGUUCCGCGGGUCAGUAUUUUUGGUUGGAAUCCGGAGGAAUCUGAACCAUCCGAACCGCAGACAUGACGGUGGGUAAGAGCAGUAAGAUGCUGCAGCACAUCGACUUCAGGAUGAGGUGCAUCCUGCAGGACGGCCGCAUCUUCAUCGGCACCUUCAAGGCCUUCGACAAACACAUGAACCUGAUCCUGUGCGACUGCGACGAGUUCAGGAAGAUCAAACCAAAGAACUCGAAGCAGCCGGAGCGUGAGGAGAAGCGGGUUCUGGGUCUGGUUCUGCUGCGGGGGGAGAACCUUGUCUCCAUGACGGUGGAAGGUCCGCCCCCUAAAGACACGGGGAUCGCCCGGGUGCCACUGGCGGGCGUGGCCGGGGGUCCAGGUGUGGGCCGGGCGGCAGGUCGCGGCGUUCCUGCUGGAGCUCCGAUGCCUCAGGCUCCGGCUGGGCUGGCGGGGCCCGUCAGAGGAGUGGGCGGCCCCUCGCAGCAGGUGAUGACCCCCCAGGGCAGAGGGACGGUUGCUGCGGCAGCAGCAGGAGCCAGCAUCGCCGGGGCACCGACGCAGUACCCACCUGGACGAGGAGCCCCGCCACCGAUGGGCAGAGGAGCCCCGCCUCCAGGUAUGAUGGGCCCGCCCCCUGGCAUGCGGCCCCCGAUGGGUCCUCCAAUGGGGAUGCCCCCUGGUCCCGGUCGAGGCGCUCCGAUGGGGAUGCCCCCUCCAGGGAUGAGGCCGCCCCCCCCUGGCAUGAGAGGACCGCCCCCUCCCGGGUUGAGACCGCCCCCUCGCCCCUGAAGAAGCCCCCCCCCCCACACACCUGCUGUAUAGAUGUUUUUUACCUUCUGCACCAACUGCAUGCCAGAUUGUCUCCAGAUGCUUAAAGAACCCAGAAGAAGCCAGAUGAACCCAGAACAGCCCUGAGGCCCCAGUGGAGGAAAAACUCCCUUUUAUGAGAAGAAACCAAGAAGACUAGUAGAGGGUAUUACCUCCUUAAAUUUAGUUACCGAAUUGUCAGACAUCUACUGUAAUAUUUAUUCUUAACUCCUAUACAAUCUAUUGUUGUAAAUUGAAAUGUUAUCAUAAAAUGGUCAGAAAGAAGAGGGUUCUGGGGAAAUACUGUUAACUGUUCGAUUUCUAUGCCAUAAGUCAGAAUGAGGUCAAGGGUGUGAUUAAAACUAUGAGUUGGUUUAUUUACAUGUUGAGUCUAAUAUUGAAUUAAAAGCAGUCGUAAGGCUGUCACUGUCCACGUCAACAUGAAUGUUAAAGUCACCCACAACAAUGACUUUAUCUGAGCUGAGCACUAAAUCAGAUAAAAAGGAGCAGCAGGACGAUAUACAACAAUAAAACUGGUUUCUGUCAGAACUAA